rnacentral:rRNA from 1 species
UACGUAGGGUGCGAGCGUUAAUCGGAAUUACUGGGCGUAAAGCGUGCGCAGGCGGUUUUCCAAGACAGAUGUGAAAUCCCCGGGCUCAACCUGGGAAUGGCAUUUGGGACUGCAAGGCUGGAGUGCGGCAGAGGAGACUGGAAUUCCUGGUGUAGCAGGUGAAAUGCGUAGAUAUCAGGAGGAAUACGAUGGCGAAGGCAGGUCUCUGGGCUGACACUGACGUCAU